rnacentral:sRNA from 1 species
UUAAUGAGAGAUGCUUUUGUUUUCCUCCUUUGAGGUGUCUGUGAAAUACCCCCGGCUCAUCUAUAAACCAGAGAUAUUCUUUGCCUUUGGAUCUCCCAUUGGAAUGUUCCUUACUGUCCGAGGACUAAAAAGAAUUGAUCCCAACUACAGAUUUCCAACGUGCAAAGGUUUCUUCAAUAUUUAUCACCCUUUUGAUCCUGUGGCCUAUAGGAUUGAACCAAUGGUGGUCCCAGGAGUGGAAUUUGAGCCAAUGCUGAUCCCACAUC